rnacentral:rRNA from 1 species
UACAGAGGUCUCAAGCGUUGUUCGGAUUCAUUGGGCGUAAAGGGUGCGUAGGCGGCGCGGUAAGUCGGGUGUGAAAUCUCGGGGCUUAACUCCGAAACUGCAUUCGAUACUGCCGUGCUUGAGGACUGGAGAGGAGACUGGAAUUUACGGUGUAGCGGUGAAAUGCGUAGAUAUCGUAAGGAAGACCAGUGGCGAAGGCGGGUCUCUGGACAGUUCCUGACGCUGGAGGCGCGAAAGCUAGGGGAGCGAACAGG